rnacentral:lncRNA from 1 species
CUGCGGGGUGGGGGCGGGCGGGGGCGGGAGCCGUGAGCCCGGCUGCCGCGAGGGACAGGGCCGAAGGACUGGCGGUGGCGAUACCCGAGGACGUGGGUCUGCACGUGCGUGUGGUUUGCCUGCAAGGAAUGAAAAUGACCCGGUGUAGCCAUCACCGGUUGCCUGGCGCGCAGGGGCUGGGGUAGGAGG